rnacentral:rRNA from 1 species
CAGCUGUACUAUACACGUUAAUCAGGCCCGCGCUAUUCUAAAUGGAUAACUGCGGAAAAUCUGGAGCUAAUACAUGCAAUUAAUGCGUCAUAGUGUAUGCUAUGCGUAGUGCAAUCAUUAGUAAUAAUGACCAAUAUAUAUAUAUUUUAUAUAUAUAUUUCUCAUUGUUGAACUCUGGAUAAUUUCCAACCUUUUACAAUGUAAAUUGGAAGGAAAAACGUGUAUGGAUCUGCCCUAUCAACUUGAUGUAAAGAUAUUAUCUUUACAUGGUGAUAACGGGUAACGGAGAAUUAGGGUUCGUCUCCGGAGAGAAUGCCUGAGAAACAGCUUUCACAUCCAAGGACGGCAGCAGGCGCGAAAAUUACCCACUCUUAGUACGAGGAGGUAGUGACUUGAAAUGACGAGAUACAUGUGGUAAAACAUGUGUAUCAUUGGAAUGGUUGAAACUUACACCAUUUCAAGAAUUCAAGGAGAGGGCAAGUCUGGUGCCAGCAGCCGCGGUAAUUCCAGCUCUCCUACUGAAUUAAACCUCUGUUGCGGUUAAAAAGUUCGUAGUUGCAAGUUAUACGAGGAUAUACGUGGAAAUGCAUAUGUAUUUGAUUAAUUUCUUGCAUAUGUAUUUUUACGAUCCCUGUCCUAUCGUAUUAGGUGAAAAUAUAUAUGUGUAACAGCAUAUAUGUUUUUUCCUGGUUACUUUGAGUAAAUCAAAGUGAUCAAAACAUGCGUUUACGCAUGAAUGGUUGUCCAAGGGAUAACAUAACAGUUGUGGUGCAAACUGUUUGUUGGUUGUAAUUGACCAUGACAUGGUUAAUAGGGGUAAUUCGGGGGCAGAGGUAUAUCCCGGGCGAGGGGUGAAAUCCGUUGACC